GUGCUGGAUGAUGUGUGUGAGUGCUGGAUGAUGGGUGUGUGUGAGUGCUGGAUGAUGGGUGUGUGUGUGCUGGAUGAUGGGUGUGUGUGAGUGCUGGAUGAUGUGUGUGUGUGUGCUGGAUGAUGGGUGUGUGUGUGCUGGAUGAUGGGUGUGUGAGUGCUGGAUGAUGUGUGUGUGUGAGUGCUGGAUGAUGUGUGUGUGAGUGCUGGAUGAUGGAUGUGUGAGUGCUGGAUGAUGUGUGUG